rnacentral:rRNA from 1 species
UACGGAGGAUGCGAGCGUUAUCCGGAUUUAUUGGGUUUAAAGGGUGCGUAGGCGGAGUGUCAAGUCAGCGGUAAAAUGUCCGGGCUCAACCCGGGCCGGCCGUUGAAACUGUCGGACUAGAGACGGCGAGAAGUACGCGGAAUGCGCGGUGUAGCGGUGAAAUGCAUAGAUAUCGCGCAGAACACCGAUUGCGAAGGCAGCUUACCAAUCUAUAUCUGACGUUGAGGCACGAAAGCGUGGGGAGCAAACAGG